AUAUUGUAUCACAGAUUGGACU
rnacentral:miRNA from 1 species